rnacentral:rRNA from 1 species
UACAGAGGGUGCAAGCGUUAAUCGGAAUUACUGGGCGUAAAGCGUGCGUAGACGGUUAUGUAAGUCGGGUGUGAAAGCCCCGGGCUCAACCUGGGAAUGCCAUUCGAGACUGCAUAGCUAGGGUGCGGAAGAGGGAAGCGGAAUUUCCGGUGUAGCGGUGAAUGCGUAGAUAUCGGAGGAACACCGAUGGCGAAGGCAAUCCCCUGGACCUGUACUGACGCUCAUGCACGAAAGCGUGGGGAGCAAACAGG